rnacentral:rRNA from 1 species
UACGUAGGUGGCAAGCGUUGUCCGGAUUUACUGGGUGUAAAGGGCGCGUAGGCGGGUCUGCAAGUCAGAUGUGAAAUACCGAGGCUUAACUUCGGAACUGCAUCUGAAACUGUGGAUCUUGAGUACUGGAGAGGAAAGUGGAAUUCCUAGUGUAGCGGUGAAAUGCGUAGAUAUUAGGAGGAACACCGGUGGCGAAGGCGGCUUUCUGGACAGUAACUGACGCUGAGGCGCGAAAGCGUGGGGAGCAAACAGG